UACGUAGGAUGCAAGCGUUAUCCGGAUUUAUUGGGUUUAAAGGGUGCGUAGGCGGAAUGAUAAGUCAGUGGUGAAAUCCUACGGCUUAACUGUAGAACAGCCUCUGAUACUGCCAUUCUUGAGUAUAUUUGAUGUGGGCGGAAUGUGUUAUGUAGCGGUGAAAUGCUUAGAUAUGACACAGAACACCGAUCGCGAAGGCAGCUCACAAAACUAUAACUGACGCUGAGGCACGAAAGCGUGGGGAG
rnacentral:rRNA from 1 species